rnacentral:tRNA from 1 species
GCCCCAGUGGCCUAAUGGAUAAGGCACUGGCCUCCUAAGCCAGGGAUUGUGGGUUCAAGUCCAAUCUGGGGUG